CUGCUUAGGAGUUAGAACCCAAGAAUCCCCAUCUUCCCCGGGAGCUGGCAGAGGUCUGGCUCCAGUCUAGAUCUAGGGCUGCCACCAUGGCUGGAGAGGGGAGCUGAAGUUGUUUCAAGGCCUUUACUCCCAGAUGCCUGGUGAAGGAGGAUGGGAAGGAGGGACGGGGGCCUACCCCCUCUCCAUCCCGUGGUGCAGGUGGCAUUCAAGGCUUUCCUUCUCCACCACCACCAUCACCACCACCCUUGUCCAGAGAGGGCACUUCUAGAGCUGCUCUGUCCGCUUGCAGUCAGGGUCAAAGAGACAGAGCAGAAACAGGCCGAGGCAGCAAGCAAGGGGACGCAAAGAGAGAUGGACCACGGGAGGGAUGGACCACGGGAUGGAUCACGGGAAGGAUGCAGGGAGCAGUAAAGGAUCAAAGAAGGGCAGGGCGGACAGAAGAUGGCCCGGAGGACACUGAGGGAGGCAGCUUAUCAAGAUCUGUUUGGAUCCCGAUUCUGUCACUCACCUCCUCUGUCCCCAUACUCACUGUGAACUUGUUCUGAAAAUCUUUUGAAUGCCACAGAGAAAAGUUAUCAUUUUAAAGAGACCACUUUGCUACCAACACACUCCUGUGCUAUCUAUAGUUUGCUUUCUGUCUUUUACACCUUUGGCAUGUAUGACAGGCUGAGAUGCAUGAACCUACCCAGAAAGUGGGACUGGAUGUGGCCACAUAGAUAUCAAGGGAUGCUACACCAAGGAUUGAGAAAAAAAGGCUAUAAUGAAUGGAUGCCCAUCAAUUGGAGAAUGGUUGAGUAAAUUGUGGUAUAUGAAUGUUAUGGAAUAUUAUUGUUCUGUAAGAAAUGACCAGCAGGAUGAAUACAGAGAGGACUGGCGAGACUUACAUGAACUGAUGCUAAGUGAAAUGAGCAGAACCAGGAGAUCAUUAUACACUUCGACAACGAUAUUGUAUGAGGAUGUAUUCUGAUGGAAGUGGAUUUCUCUGACAAAGAGACUUAACUGAGUUUCAAUUGAUAAAUGAUGGACAGAAGCAGCUACACCCAAAGAAAGAACACUGGGAAACGAAUGUGAACUAUUUGCAUUUUUGUUUUUCUUCCCAGGUUAUUUAUACCUUCUGAAUCCAAUUCUCCCUGUGCAACAAGAGAACUGUUCGGUUCUGCAAACGUAUAUUGUAUCUAGGAUAUACUGUAACCUAUUCAACAUGUAAAGGACUGCUUGCCAUCUAGGGGAAGAGGUGGAGGGAGGGAGAGGAAAAAUCGGAACAGAAACGAGUGCAAGGGAUAAUGUUGUAAAAAAAAUUACCCUGGCAUGGAUUCUGUCAAUAUAAAGUAAUUAUUAAAUAAAAAUUUUAAAAAAGAGAAAAAAAGGCUAUAGACAUUAUAGACAUACAAAAACAACUAUGGAUAACACAGAACUUUGCAAAUUGUCAGUAGGAUACCUCUAUAUUUGUAAACAAGCACCAUUAUUCAGUCAAGCAAGUCUAAAUUAGUUCAUAUACAAUGGCAUUGGGAAAUGGGAAAACAGCAUCAUUCUGAGAGGUCUCAUCAGCCUUGAGACUCCACCUCAUCAUGCCCUCUGUUCUUCUAAUAUUCUUCUAAUAGAGCCAUGACCUCUUAGAACGCCAAUGUAGGAGGGAGCUUAGCUGAGAAGAUCUCAUUUCUUACCCAACUGCACUACCCAGGACUUCUCUAACUUUUCCACUCUGCCCCUGCAUCAGGCACCUUCCCCACCCCCUUUUUCUGCUUCUUUUUGUAUGUUGCC